rnacentral:rRNA from 1 species
UACAGAGGGGGCAAGCGUUAUUCGGAAUUAUUGGGCGUAAAGGGCGCGUAGGCGGCCUGGCAAGCGGAAGGUGAAAUCCCUCGGCUUAACCGAGGAACUGCCCUCCAAACUGCUUGGCUUGAGUCCGGGAGAGGUGAGUGGAAUUCCCAGUGUAGCGGUGAAAUGCGUAGAUAUUGGGAGGAACACCAGUGGCGAAGGCGGCUCACUGGACCGGAACUGACGCUGAGGCGCGAAAGCGUGGGGAGCAAACAGG